UGAACAUAUUAAGUGAAACAGAGAAUGAGAACAAUUGCAGGAUUCCAUUUAUAUAAAGUUCAAAAAUAGGCACAAGUAAUCUAUAAUGUUAGAGAUCAGUAUAGUGGUUACCUUUUAAGAGCUUUAAAGAGGUAGAGAUCUGGGCACCUGGGUGGCUCAGUGGGUUAAAG